GACAGAGGGUGCAAACGUUGUUCGGAAUUACUGGACGUAAAGAGCGCGCAGGCGGUCGUUCAAGUCGCGUGUGAAAGCCCCCGGCUCAACUGGGGAGGGUCACGCGAUACUGAUCGACUCGAAGGCAGGAGAGGGUAGUGGAAUUCCCGGUGUAGUGGUGAAAUGCGUAGAUAUCGGGAGGAACACCAGUGGCGAAGGCGACUACCUGGCCUGUUCUUGACGCUGAGGCGCGAAAGCUAGGGGAGCAAACGGG
rnacentral:rRNA from 1 species